UAUGUGAUCGUCUCUCGCAUAUCAAUAAGCGGAGGAAAAGAAACUAACAAGGAUUCCCCUAGUAACGGCGAGUGAAGCGGGAAGAGCUCAAAUUUGAAAUCUGGUAGCCUUCGGUUGCCCGAGUUGUAAUCUAGAGAAGUGUUUUCCGUGCCGGCCCAUGUACAAGCCCCUUGGAACAGGGCGUCAUAGAGGGUGAGAAUCCCGUCCUUGACAUGGACCCCCGGUGCUUUGUGAUACACUUUCAACGAGUCGAGUUGUUUGGGAAUGCAGCUCAAAAUGGGUGGUGAAUUCCAUCUAAAGCUAAAUAUUGGCGAGAGACCGAUAGCGAACAAGUACCGUGAGGGAAAGAUGAAAAGCACUUUGGAAAGAGAGUUAAACAGUACGUGAAAUUGUCAAAAGGGAAGCGUUUGACACCAGUGUUGUUUUUCUGAAAAUCAAUUAAAGAACUGUUUAUGCUAAGUCGUUUAGACUUUAUCAGCUAACUGUUUAGUUUUGAGCUUUUCUUUAAUGCACUUUUCAGUUAACAAGUCAACAUCAAUUUCUUUUGCUGUAAAAAAGCUUGAGGAAGGUGGCUUGAGAUUCGUCUUAAGUGUUUAUAGCCUCUUGCCUAUGCAGUCGGAGAGAUUGAGGUCUGCAGCGUAGAUCCUUCGGGGCUAAAUGCAUUUGUGCUAAGUUAUAGCAUUUUAUAGACAACUUGUUGACUAUGAUUUGUCUUGUAGCUUACUCGCUUAUGUUAUUUUACCUACGCUUAGGAUGUUGAAGAUAUGCGCGACACG
rnacentral:rRNA from 1 species